GUGCAUGGGACUAACUCCAACCCAAUGUGAACCAUACCAAACUGUUGCCUCGGCGGGGUCACGCCCCGGGUGCGUCGCAGCCCCGGAACCAGGCGCCCGCCGGAGGGACCAACCAAACUCUUUCUGUAGUCCCCUCGCGGACGUUAUUUCUUACAGCUCUGAGCAAAAAUUCAAAAUGAAUCAAAACUUUCAACAACGGAUCUCUUGGUUCUGGCAUCGAUGAAGAACGCAGCGAAAUGCGAUAAGUAAUGUGAAUUGCAGAAUUCAGUGAAUCAUCGAAUCUUUGAACGCACAUUGCGCCCGCCAGUAUUCUGGCGGGCAUGCCUGUCCGAGCGUCAUUUCAACCCUCGAACCCCUCCGGGGGGUCGGCGUUGGGGAUCGGGAACCCCUAAGACGGGAUCCCGGCCCCGAAAUACAGUGGCGGUCUCGCCGCAGCCUCUCCUGCGCAGUAGUUUGCACAACUCGCACCGGGAGCGCGGCGCGUCCACGUCCGUAAAACACCCAACUUCUGAAAUGUUGACCUCGGAUCAGGUAGGAAUACCCGCUGAACUUAAGCAUAUCAAACGGGGGAGAGGGAAAC
rnacentral:rRNA from 1 species